CUCAUCUUUAACCAUUUUCUUUUUGGCAAGCAUUUUGCAAGCUUCCUGCCUAAUCAAGUUUCCUGCGUGAUCGACUAUACCAAAAAGGUAACCUUCAUGUGAUAAAAAUAAAUUUAAAAUCUAUUUAUGAAUACUAUUAUGUUAAAAAGUUAUACAAAUGAUCUUCAAAUUUUUUGCAAUUCAAGCUUAAAUCUGUAGUGUCGAGUUCUCAUAGUUUAAGGUAGCACACUAAAAUCAUGUUUUACAGUACGACAUGCCCAUAUUAAAUUUUUUUUUUUUUUUACCUUAAGAAGACGCCGAAGUGUAGCACUCUGCGCAGCGCGGAGUGGGAAUGCCCACACUCCACUCUCCGCACUACGCGGAGUGCACUCCGCGAUAAAACUGAUCUUCGCCUUUAAAAAAUACUCUUCAACUAUAUUCUAAAUAGGAUCUCAUAUACACUGAUGAUCUGAG
rnacentral:lncRNA from 1 species